AUNGGCNGUAAAACGGUGCACGUUUGGUGUGGGAGGAUUCGACCCCUUCUGCGCCGGAGCUAACGCGUUAAACGUGCCGCCUGGGGAGUACGGUCGCAAGAUUAAAACUCAAAGAAAUUGACGGGGGCCCACACAAGCGGUGGAGUAUGUGGCUCAAUUCGAUGCAACGCGAAGAACCUUACCAGGCCUUGACAUGCAUCUCUAAGUUGGUGAAAGCCAGCGAGUCCCGAAAGGGACAAUUUGCACAGGUGCUGCAUGGCUGUCGUCAGCUCGUGUCAUGAGAUGUUGGGUUAAGUCCCGCAACGAGCGCAACCCCUGUGAACUGUUGCCACCGAGCCGAGAGGCUCGAGCACUCUGUUCAGACUGCCCCGCUCUAACGGGGAGGAAGGUGGGGACGACGUCAAGUCAGUAUGGCCCUUACGGCCUGGGCUGCACACGUACUACAAUGCCCAGCACAGAACGAUCCAAGACCGCAAGGUGGAAGAAAUCACUAAAACUGGGCCCAGUUCAGAUUGAAUCUGCAACUCGACUUCAUGAAGCC
rnacentral:rRNA from 1 species